rnacentral:rRNA from 1 species
UACGUAGGGGGCAAGCGUUGUCCGGAUUUAUUGGGCGUAAAGAGCGUGUAGGCGGCUUGGUAGGUCCGCUGUGAAAACUCGAGGCUCAACCUCGAGAUGUCGGCGGAAACCACUUGGCUAGAGUCCGGAAGAGGAGAGUGGAAUUCCUGGUGUAGCGGUGAAAUGCGCAGAUAUUGGGGAAGAACACCGGUGGCGAAGGCGGCGCUCUGGACCGAGACUGACGCUGAGGCGCGAAAGCGUGGGGAGCAAACAGG